UACGUAGGGGGCUAGCGUUGUCCGGAAUCAUUGGGCGUAAAGCGCGCGUAGGCGGCCAGAUAAGUCCGGUGUGAAAGUCACAGGCUCAACCUGUGAAUGCCGCUGGAAACUGUCUGGCUAGAGUCCGGAAGGGGCGAGUGGAAUUCCUGGUGUAGCGGUGAAAUGCGCAGAUAUCAGGAGGAACACCGAUUGCGAAGGCAGCUCGCUGGGACGUCACUGACGCUGAGACGCGAAAGCGUGGGGAGCAAACAGG
rnacentral:rRNA from 1 species